rnacentral:piRNA from 1 species
UCCUGGUGUAAGUGCCAGACUAC